CUCAAUUAUCUGCAGAGUUUAGAUUCAGCCCUUAUCAAACACAUCUGAUGCAGAGAAAGUUCAAGACCGGUGUCUUUGGGGUGGUUGGAGCUAAACUCUGCAGGACACCGGCCCUACAGGAACUGAGUUUGACACUCCUGCUUUAGAACAAAGUAACUUGGCUCCUUUGUCCAAUUUUUAUGGUUAUAUAUUAAAAUAUUUUUUAUUUUGUUGCAGUAAACUAACUAGCAGAAUCACUUCAGGAUCAUGGAAGCUGAUAAAAAACAAGAAUGUUCCAAAACAGUUGGCCGGCUCUGUUGACUGUGGGAUCUUUAUGUUGAUGUAUGCUUUCUACAUGAUCUUGGAGGAACCCUUUGAUUUUACAGCUUCUGAUUUUCCCGUCAUUCGGAAAUGGUGGUGCCUUAUUCUGAUGGAGAAUUUUGCCAUUCAAAAGUAACUCUCUUGCUCUCUCAAGUAUUUCUUUGUCCAUGUGUCUAUAAAUUAAUUUGAAAUUAAUUUGUCACAGAAAACAUGCUGACCUUGAUGUGCAAGUGCCACUUGAACAACAUGACACUGAAAUGGGUGACGAGGAACCACAGAUCGUCAAAGAUCUCUUGACUGCAGUUGGAUGGUUGCAGGAAAACGGCCAUGCCUUCAGAGGUUUUGCGCAAGAGCCGUGGUAUCUGUCCUUAAACAAGGAAGACCAGGAAAAGGCCCUUCUUCAACUAGAUCGGGCGGAAAAGAAUGACGACAGACAACUGGCCAAAGAGCCUUUCAUGUUUUGUUUCCAGUUCAGGGAAGAUAUGGAAGUUUUUCUUAAUGAGUGCCAGGACAAAAGGCGCCUCAGGAUUAACUCCAUGUUUAUGGAGUUUUGAGGUUUUUUU